AACAAGAGUAUUAUACCAUGUAUGUGUGCACAUAAACAUACAAUACACAAUUAAAACAUAAAUAGUUAAGAUAUGUAUUAUGAUUUCUUAUCCUUUUAUGCAUGUCAAUGAUUUGUUUUGAUACUUCUUGGGAAAAACACAGGUUUACUAAGCAAUUCCAUGGCAUCAAACUCAUGGGAAGUAAAUACAGUGAGGAAUCAGAAUGCACAGAGUAUAAAUAGGAUUCUUUGUGUGAUAAACCAAGCUACAAAUGUCAUCCAAAAAGUACAAAUAUGUGCUUUGAACACAGUAUGAGCAGGACAUGACUUAACUCAUUAUAUAGCAUGAUACUCUGGGUUUAUAUCAAAAGCAGUCUAAUACAAAUAUUACUUACAUUUUAUAUGACUCAUGCUCUGUUGUGAUAACCACCACAGCAAUCAAAAGCAGCUGGAGAGAGGAAUAGCUUUAUUUGGCACAGAGGCUGCAGCCCAUCAUCUAGGGAAGCCAAGUCAAAAGUUUAAGACAGGACCUUGGAGACAGGAAUGGAAAGCAGAAAUCACCAAGGAACAUCACCUAACUUCCCCAUACAACUCAGGAACACACUGGGUUAGGAGAGGCUUUAUACUGGGCAUAUCCCUCUUCUAUCAAUUAACCUUUAAGAAAAUGCCCUAUAGAGAUGCCCACAGGCUGAUCUUCUAGAGGCAACUCCUCACCAGAGGGUCUUCAAAGGUACAUAAGGUUGACAACCAAGAGUAGCAAUCACAACUCAUAAAUACACUGACAUACAUAAAGGAUAUCAAGAGAGACAUAGUAUUAAAGGCAACUGUGAAUCCCUUUCCAGUCUGUGACGUGAAUAUUGGGAUUGGCAGGCCAUUUACUUUAAAAUAGGCAAAAAAGAAAUAUUAGGUUCAAAGAUGAGCACUUAGAAUGAAGGGGAAGAAACCAUGUGUAUAGUACAGGGUGUGUUUCAGGAGAAACAUGUUAGAGUAAAAGCAUCAGUAAGGCCAAGAUAUUAAAUAAUCUUCUCAGAUAGAAAUGGAAUGAAAUUUGUUUGGAAUGACUUCAGAAGACAGAAUUAAAACCUGAAUAGAAAUUCUAAGUCAAAUUCAUUAUAUGUAAAAAAAAAAAAAAGUUCUUGACAGCAGAACUAUUCACAAUUGGAAUGGGCUGUUUUAUAAGGAAGCAGGCUCUCCAAGCUACUGGCAUUCAAAUGAGAAGGACUAGCAUAGGAUUCAUAAAUAUUCUCAUCUAAAUAGUCUGCAAUAGGGGUACUGAAAGGAGGAUGUUCUCUGGAGAAGGAGAAAUAUAUAAAAAUGAUGGUGGGAUCAGUCACUGAAAUAGGAUUGAAUUUAGGAGGAGAUGUUCCACAUUUCACUUUGCUGACCUUAAGUGCGUGAACGAUAGUCUAAUAGAAGAGGCAAGGUAGGAAUCUGUUAUAUUAUCUAAUGCCAGAAGAAAGGUCUGAACUGGAGGUGAGUUUGAGCACAUCCAUCCCACAAGGUCAGUACAGUCCAAUCUGAACCCAAUACAUUAUUUUUAAUUAUCGAUUUUAUUUACCUCCAAUGUAGUCAAAAUAUUAUCAUUUAACAUGUGGCCAAUAUAAAAAUAUUUAAAUAAUUUCUUUUUUCUUGUUAUUGUUUAUAUAUGUGUUUCAAAUAUGCUAUACAUAGAUUACUUAGAGCAUAUCUCAAUUCAGGUACCUGCCUUCUAAUUCCAAGAACCUAGGAGAUACAUCUGGGCAAAUAGGUACAAUGACGGACAACAUAGACAUGGAAUAUCAUCAAAUUCUCUAAAAUAUUAAACUAAGAUUAGCCAAGGGAAACUUUUAAAACCAUAUAAAUGGAAGAUCAAAGAUAAUAGAGUAAAAAUAUAUGUGGUCAAUUAUGCUAUACUCUAAUGAAGGUUGGGGACUUUAAAAUACACAACUAGAGCUAAAGAAAUGGCUUAUUGGAUUUGAGCACUUGUCACUUUUGCAGAGCCCAGAAUUCAAUUCUCAGCAUCCACAUAGUGGCUCAAAAUCAUGCAUAAUUUCAGUUCCAAGGGAUCCAAUUCCCUUUUCUGGCCUUUGUGGUUAGUGUGUAUCCAUGUAGAGGACAUGCAUGCGUGCAAGCAAAACACUCAUAUAUACAAAAUAAAAUUCUAAAUGCAUUGGACCCAAAGUUAUAGAAACCCUGGGAGCAGUUUGACAGAUAAGUAAAUGCUCUAAUCAUUCUUAGUCUGAGGAGUAAUACGUUUAGGUCCUAUAGUUCUUUGUCUGUGGCCUGCCAUAGACUUUGGAUUACAUUUGGACUAAUAGAAAAGGGGACAAUAGACAAGUUAAGUGGUGGCAUCUUCCAGGGGGACUUCUAUGCAAGGCAUAGAAAGAAAGCAUGUACCCUGCUUCCUUUUGGUGCAUUCAUGUACAGUGUCUUUUUUUUCUUUUCUUUUAUUGGAUAUUUUCUUUAUUUACAUUUCAAAUGUUAUCCCCUUUUCUGGUUUCCCCUCCGAAGCCCCCAUCCCAAACCCUCCCUCCUCCUGUUUCUAUAAGGGUGCUCCCUCACCCACCUACCCAUUCCCUCCUACCUCCCCACCCUAGCAUUCCCCUACACUGGAGCAUGAAGCCUUCACAGGACCAAGGGCUUCUCCUCCCAUUGAUGCUAGACAAGGCCAUCCUCUGCUACAUAUACAGCUGGAGCCAUGGGUCACUCCAUGUGUACUCAUUGGUUGGUGGGAGGUCUGGGUGGGGUGGUUGGUUGAUAUUGUUGUUUUUCCUACAGGGUUGCAAACCCCCCUUCAGUUCCUUGAGUCCUUUCUCUAACUCUUCUACUGAGACUCCGUUCUCAGUCCAAUGGUUGGCUGCAAGCGUCCAACUGUUUUUGUCAGGCUCUGGCAGAGCUCUCAUUCAAAGCAUAAAAUAAGUCAUUUCCUUCUUUUAACAUGAUUUCAUGGACAUACUUUUGCAGGGAUAAAAUUGGAACACUCUUCUUACAUGGAUCUGCCAAUAUUGAUCCUUCAGAAUCAAUGGAUCGGAACAGUAAAAGAAGAAAUUAUAAGAGCCCACUGUCCACUGCCCUGCCCCAGCUAUAGCUGGAUUGAACAGGACAAGAACACAAGGAAUGAGGGCUAACAGAGGUGGGGAGCUCCAGAGCUUGAGGGCACGAAAUAGAAAAGGUAUGAGAACUUAUCAGAAGCCCCACAGAAGCCUGGGACUGGGUCGAAAGAAAUCCACAGAGCUCUUUUCUCUUUAUGGAUUCCGAGUCAGCCUCUUUCAUUGCAACAAGAACUAGAGUUUCAAUGAGAUUUCCAGUCCAAAAUCAAGAGCAGGAUGGAGAGUGUUAAAGGACAAUGCCGGAAGUCAACCUCUGUUCUCCAAAUCACACACACAAAAUAAACUUAUUUCACAAAAGGCUAAAUCAGCAGCCUGAGCAGAACCAGCCCCCUUCCAUCAUGUGUGAGUCCUACAGAAAAGUGGCUUGUAAUGCAAUUCUUGGAGACUGAAUUCAGCAUACAACUGUCAACAACUACUGAGACCAGGUCAGGAGACCCUUCGGCAAGUUAUUAAAUGUCUACAAAUGUCUGCAAAUGUAAGUACCACCAGUUACAAUCUACCUUUAAGUAUCUUGCAACUUUACAGUUGCAUUCGGACCAUGAAAUAGACGCAACUUAUUUUGCUAGAAGAUCCAAAUAAUGGUUAAUUAUAGACACAGAGACCUUCAGAGAGAUGAUUAUUGUAUUUAACAUUAUUAUUUUUAAUAAACCCAUUGUUAUAAUCACAUGGAAAAUGAGACUAAAAGUCUGAAGUAUUUGUAAGCUUAAAAGAGGGCAACUGGCAUCUGCAUAAAACAAUGUAAUGCAGCAAAGAGCUCAGAGCAGUCCACAGUUAUAGCUUAAUGAACACAAAUCUCCAGCACCAGAUGCCCAAUGUGACAGGCUUCUGACUCACUUCCAGCUCUUCAUAGCGUGGCCAAGAAGAACAGGCUUGCAGUACCUCCUCAGCCAACAAUGAAGUCCAGAAACGAAGAAAAACAUAGGCUUAAACCAGGACCUCCGAAUGAAGCAAAAUAUAUGUGUAUUUUAUAAGGAAAUGAAGUGAGGUAGUGACCUGGCAUAUCGGAGCUCCAGAAGUAGCCAACCGGUGUACUACUCUGGCUCUUCAAAAGACCCUGGAAUUUUCUUUCUGGAUUUUUCCUUUGCACUGAAAGCAUGACACUGACAUCCUACACACAACGGUGCCACAGAGUGUGAUCUAUUGAAGUAGAAAAGAAAUAAGGGAACCCCCUGAGAAAGAACAUAGAAGUGAUUGAGCAGAGUGUCAACAGCUGAGCCUCUACCCCAUCUAAACUCACGAAAAGGAACAGUUCGUGAGCUAAGGUUUGUCCUUAAUACAUGUGACCAGGACUGGCCAAGGAAGGGGAUGAUCCUUUGUUUGUAAAGACAACUUACAGAGAAAGUGAGGUAGUUAAAUAGAACAUUCUUUCUUCUCUAUGAGGGCAUUUUGCUGAUAUUAAGGGAAUACUAGACUUAACACACACUAGGAAAAUAUGUGCUACCUAGCCCUACCUCCAAGCUACGUGCUUACUCUGUGCAUUUGUUAAGGAAAAUAAAAAUUACCAUUUACA